UUAGUUGCAGGGUAUAGACCCGAAACCCGGUGAUCUAGCCAUGGGCAGGUUGAAGGUUGGGUAACACUAACUGGAGGACCGAACCGACUAAUGUUGAAAAAUUAGCGGAUGACUUGUGGCUGGGGGUGAAAGGCCAAUCAAACCGGGAGAUAGCUGGUUCUCCCCGAAAGCUAUUUAGGUAGCGCCUCGUGAACUCAUCUCCGGGGGUAGAGCACUGUUUCGGCUAGGGGGUCAUCCCGACUUACCAACCCGAUGCAAACUGCGAAUACCGGAGAAUGUUAUCACGGGAGACACACGGCGGGUGCUAACGUUCGUCGUGAAGAGGGAAACAACCCAGACCGCCGGCUAAGGUCCCAAAGUCAUAAUUAAGUGGGAAACGAAGUGGGAAGGCUCAGACAGCCAGGAUGUUGGCUUAGAAGCAGCCAUCAUUUAAAGAAAGCGUAAUAGCUCACUGGUCGAGUCGGCCUGCGCGGAAGAUGUAACGGGGCUAAAUUAUGCACCGAAGCCGCGGCAGCGAUAUGUAAAUAUUGUUGGGUAGGGGAGCGUUCUGUAAGCCUGUGAAGGUGGCCUGUGAGGGUUGCUGGAGGUAUCAGAAGUGCGAAUGCUGACAUAAGUAACGAUAAUGCGGGUGAAAAACCCGCACGCCGGAAGACCAAGGGUUCCUGUCCAACGUUAAUCGGGGCAGGGUGAGUCGACCCCUAAGGCGAGGCUGAAAAGCGUAGUCGAUGGGCAACGGGUUAAUAUUCCCGUACUGGUGGUAACUGCGAAGGGGGGACGGAGAAAGCUAAAUCAUCCGGGCGACGGUUGUCCCGGUUUAAGCGUGCAGGUGGACUGACCAGGCAAAUCCGGUCGGUUGUUAACACUGAGGCGUGACGACGAGCCACUACGGUGGUGAAGUGAUUGAUGCUCUGCUUCCGGGAAAAGCCUCUAAGCUCCAGGUUACCAUUAAUCGUACCCCAAACCGACACAGGUGGUCAGGUAGAGAAUACUCAGGCGCUUGAGAGAACUCGGGUGAAGGAACUAGGCAAAAUGGUGCCGUAACUUCGGGAGAAGGCACGCUGGCAUUAGGUGAAGUGGUUUACCCAUGGAGCUGAAGCCAGCCGCAGAUACCAGCUGGCUGCAACUGUUUAUUAAAAACACAGCACUGUGCAAACACGAAAGUGGACGUAUACGGUGUGACGCCUGCCCGGUGCCGGAAGGUUAAUUGAUGAGGUUAGCGUAAGCGAAGCUUCUGAUCGAAGCCCCGGUAAACGGCGGCCGUAACUAUAACGGUCCUAAGGUAGCGAAAUUCCUUGUCGGGUAAGUUCCGACCUGCACGAAUGGCGUAAUGAUGGCCAGGCUGUCUCCACCCGAGACUCAGUGAAAUUGAACUCGCUGUGAAGAUGCAGUGUACCCGCGGCAAGACGGAAAGACCCCGUGAACCUUUACUAUAGCUUGACACUGAACAUUGAGCCUUGAUGUGUAGGAUAGGUGGGAGGCAACGAAGCGUGGACGCCAGUCUGCGCGGAGCCAUCCUUGAAAUACCACCCUUUAACGUUUGAUGUUCUAACCCGGGUCCAUAAUCUGGAUCGGGGACCGUGUCUGGUGGGUAGUUUGACUGGGGCGGUCUCCUCCCAAAGAGUAACGGAGGAGCACGAAGGUUGGCUAAGCAUGGUCGGACAUCAUGCGGUUAGUGCAAAGGCAUAAGCCAGCUUGACUGCGAGAGUGACGGCUCGAGCAGGUACGAAAGUAGGUCUUAGUGAUCCGGUGGUUCUGAAUGGAAGGGCCAUCGCUCAACGGAUAAAAGGUACUCCGGGGAUAACAGGCUGAUACCGCCCAAGAGUUCAUAUCGACGGCGGUGUUUGGCACCUCGAUGUCGGCUCAUCACAUCCUGGGGCUGAAGUAGGUCCCAAGGGUAUGGCUGUUCGCCAUUUAAAGUGGUACGCGAGCUGGGUUUAGAACGUCGUGAGACAGUUCGGUCCCUAUCUGCCGUGGGCGCUGGAAGAUUGAGAGGGGUUGCUCCUAGUACGAGAGGACCGGAGUGAACGCACCACUGGUGUACGGGUUGUGAUGCCAAUUGCAUUGCCCGGUAGCUAAGUGCGGAAGAGAUAACCGCUGAAAGCAUCUAAGCGGGAAACUUGCCUCGAGAUGAGUCUUCCCUGACCCUUUAAGGGUCCUGAAGGAACGUUUGAGACUAAGACGUUGAUAGGCUGGGUGUGUAAGCGCAGCGAUGCGUUGAGCUGACCAGUACUAAUGAACCGAGAGGCUUAACCUG
rnacentral:rRNA from 1 species